GAUGAAGAACGCAGCGAAAUGCGAUAACUAAUGUGAAUUGCAGAAUUCAGUGAACCAUCGAAUCUUUGAACGCACAUUGCGCCCGCUGGAACUCCGGCGGGCACGCCUGUCCGAGCGUCAUUUCAACCCUCAGGCCCCCCUUCGCGGGCGGGCCUGGUGUUGGGGCCCGGCCGCUACCCUGCGGCCGUCCCCUAAAUUCAGUGGCGGCCUCGCCGUGAUCCCUUGCGUAGUAAUGCACCUCGCACCGGAGAGCGCCGUGGCCACGCCGUAAAACCCCCAAUUUUCAAUGGUUGACCUCGGAUCAGGUGGGAAUACCCGCUGAACUUAAGCAUAUCAAUAAGCGGAGGA
rnacentral:misc_RNA from 1 species